ACAUGAUUUUUGUUUGUUCCUAACAGGGUUGACAUAUUUACGGAUCUAUCUCAUGAUGUUGAAUAUGUAGAAUAUUGUUAUUAUAUGUAGUUUCCAUCACGAGUUAAGUAAACUUGAUCGUGAUUAUGUUUUGUACGGGUUUUUUCUUUUUCUUUUUUCUCUCAGAUGGUAAAGGUAGAUAUAUUUUGGCUUUUCAUGCUUCUCAGUCCCAACUUUUAAUAGUACAA
rnacentral:lncRNA from 1 species